AACGAACGCUGGCGGCAUGCCUAACACAUGCAAGUCGAACGCCUGUAGCAAUACAGGAGUGGCAGACGGGUGCAUAACACGUGGGAACCUACCCUUGGGUUCGGAAUAACCGCGGGAAACUGCGGCUAAUACCGGAUACGUCCUGUGGGAGAAAGAUUCAUCGCCCUUGGAGGGGCCCGCGUCGGAUUAGCUAGUUGGUGAGGUAACGGCUCACCAAGGCGACGAUCCGUAGCUGAUCUGAGAGGAUGAUCAGCCACACUGGAACUGUGACACGGUCCAGACUCCUACGGGAGGCAGCAGUGGGGAAUAUUGGACAAUGGGCGCAAGCCUGAUCCAGCAAUGCCGCGUGGGUGAUGAAGGCCUUCGGGUUGUAAGCCCUUUGGUCAGGGACGAUGAUGACGGUACCUGCAGAUAAGCCCCGGCUAACUUCGUGCCAGCAGCCGCGGUAAU
rnacentral:rRNA from 1 species